rnacentral:rRNA from 1 species
UACGUAGGGUGCAAGCGUUGUCCGGAAUUAUUGGGCGUAAAGAGCUCGUAGGCGGUUUGUUGCGUCGGCUGUGAAAUCCCGAGGCUCAACCUCGGGUCUGCAGUCGAUACGAGCAAACUAGCGUGUUGCAGGGGAGACUGGAAUUCCUGGUGUAGCGGUGAAAUGCGCAGAUAUCAGGAGGAACACCGGUGGCGAAGGCGGGUCUCUGGGCAACAACUGACGCUGAGGAGCGAAAGCGUGGGGAGCAAACGGG